GCCUCGAUGGCUUAGGGGUAUAGCGCGUCCUUGGUAAGGACGAGGUCGCGGGUUCAAAUCCCGUUCGAGGCU
rnacentral:tRNA from 2 species